rnacentral:rRNA from 1 species
GUGGGGAAUAUUGCACAAUGGACGAAAGUCUGAUGCAGCGACGCCGCGUGGAGGAUGAAGGUCUUCGGAUUGUAAACUCCUGUUAAGAGGGAAAAAAGAAACGUGGCUAAUAUCCACGGGAGAUGAUUGUACCUCUAGAGAAAGCUCCGGCUAACUUCGUGCCAGCAGCCGCGGUAAUACGAAGGGAGCAAGCGUUAUUCGGAAUUACUGGGCGUAAAGGGCGCGUAGGCGGUCUGUUAAGUCAGUUGUUAAAUCCCAUGGCUUACCCAUGGAAAUGCGAUUGAUACUGGCGGACUAGAGGGCAAGAGAGAGGGGUGGAAUUCUCGGAGUAGCGGUAGAAUGCGUAGAUCUCGAGAGGAACACCGAUGGCGAAGGCAGCUCUUUGGCUUGUCCCUGACGCUGAGGCGCGAAAGCGUGGGGAGCAAACAGGAUUAGAAACCCUUGUAGUCC